UCCCUGAUGGCUCAGUGGUAAAGAGCCUGCCUGCAAUGCAGGAGACCUGGGCUCAAUCCCUGUGUUGGGAA
rnacentral:tRNA from 1 species